rnacentral:lncRNA from 1 species
GCGUCACACCAUGAAACUCCGCUAACUCAGAUUCAGAUAAGACCACUUCCCCUCCCUUCUCAUCAAGCGCUGCAAGUUGGUCCUUAAGAGCCGCAAUCCGACUAGGAAGAUUCUGGGUGUGAGCCGUAUGCCACUCUUUCAAGACUGUCUUAAUCCCUUUAAGUUUUUCUUUAAGAACAUAACCUCCCCAACCAUCAAACUGAAAGGAAUUCCACUUUUCGCGCACAAACAGUUUAUAUCCAGGGACAUCUCUCCAACACUUCAACAUCCUCGAGGGACGGGGACCCCAGUCCUCCUCUUCCGCUGCCAAAACCAAGGGGCAAUGAUUAGAUAGUCCUCUCAUCCGAGCUGCUUGUGUACAGUUAGGCCAAGUCAAACACCAAUCCCCAGAAAGUAAGAAUCUAUCCAAACGAC